AGAGUUUGAUCAUGGCUCAGAUUGAACGCUGGCGGAAUGCUUUACACAUGCAAGUCGAACGGUAGAGGGGGCAACCCCUUGAGAGUGGCGAACGGGUGAGUAAUAUAUCGGAACGUGCCCAGUCGUGGGGGAUAACGUAGCGAAAGUUACGCUAAUACCGCAUACGAUCUAAGGAUGAAAGCGGGGGAUCGCAAGACCUCGCGCGAUUGGAGCGGCCGAUAUCAGAUUAGGUAGUUGGUGGGGUAAGGGCUCACCAAGCCAACGAUCUGUAGCUGGUCUGAGAGGACGACCAGCCACACUGGAACUGAGACACGGUCCAGACUCCUACGGGAGGCAGCAGUGGGGAAUUUUGGACAAUGGACGCAAGUCUGAUCCAGCCAUUCCGCGUGCAGGAUGAAGGCCCUCGGGUUGUAAACUGCUUUUGUACGGAACGAAAAGGUUUCUAUUAAUACUAGGAGCUCAUGACGGUACCGUAAGAAUAAGCACCGGCUAACUACGUGCCAGCAGCCGCGGUAAUACGUAGGGUGCAAGCGUUAAUCGGAAUUACUGGGCGUAAAGCGUGCGCAGGCGGUUAUGUAAGACAGAGGUGAAAUCCCCGGGCUCAACCUGGGAACUGCCUUUGUGACUGCAUAGCUAGAGUACGGUAGAGGGGGAUGGAAUUCCGCGUGUAGCAGUGAAAUGCGUAGAUAUGCGGAGGAACACCGAUGGCGAAGGCAAUCCCCUGGGCCUGUACUGACGCUCAUGCACGAAAGCGUGGGGGGCAAACAGGAUUAGAUACCCUGGUAGUCCACGCCC
rnacentral:rRNA from 1 species